UGCCAAGCAACUCCCUAUCCCUACCUCCUCGUGGUACUGGCCGGGGUACGAGUAACCUUGGGGAAGAUCGGGUAACCAACCCCCGGUGGGAACUUUGAUCGUAUGCUGACAGGGAAGG
rfam:Aedes aegypti strain Liverpool supercont1.11 genomic scaffold, whole genome shotgun sequence.